UACGUAGGUGGCAAGCGUUGUCCGGAUUUAUUGGGCGUAAAGCGAGCGCAGGCGGAAAGAUAAGUCUGAUGUGAAAGCCCCCGGCUUAACCGAGGAAUUGCAUCGGAAACUGUGUUUCUUGAGUGCAGAAGAGGAGAGUGGAACUCCAUGUGUAGCGGUGGAAUGCGUAGAUAUAUGGAAGAACACCAGUGGCGAAGGCGGCUCUCUGGUCUGUAACUGACGCUGAGGCUCGAAAGCAUGGGUAGCGA
rnacentral:rRNA from 1 species